GACGAACGCUGGCGGCGUGCUUAACACAUGCAAGUCGAACGGAAAGGCCCUGCUUUUGUGGGGUGCUCGAGUGGCGAACGGGUGAGUAACACGUGAGUAACCUGCCCUUGACUUUGGGAUAACUUCACGAAACUGGGGCUAAUACCGGAUAGGAUCUCCUGCUGCAUGGUGGGGGUUGGAAAGUUUCGGCGGUUGGGGAUGGACUCGCGGCUUAUCAGCUUGUUGGUGGGGUAGUGGCUUACCAAGGCUUUGACGGGUAGCCGGCAUGAGAGGGUGACCGGCCACAUUGGGACUGAGAGACGGACCAGACUCCUACGGGAGGCAGCAGUGGGGAAUAUUGCACAAUGGGCGGAAGCCUGAUGCAGCAACGCCGCGUGCGGGAUGACGGCCUUCGGGUUGUAAACCGCUUUCGCCUGUGACGAAGCGGGAGUGACGGUAAUGGGUAAAGAAGCACCGGCUAACUACGUG
rnacentral:rRNA from 1 species